GGAAGAGCCAUAGCUCAGUGGCUAGAGCAUCUUCCUUGCAUGUAGAACGUCCCAGGUUCAAGCCCCAGCAUUUCCA